UGUAAAUCUAGCAACUUGGGAGGCUGAGGCAGAAGGAUCAUGAGUUCAAAGCCAGCCUCAGCAACUUAGCAAGACUCUAAGCAAUAAUUUAGCAAGAACUUGUCUCAAAAUAAAAAAUUUAAAAAAUGGACGGGUUAUGUGGCUCAGUGGUUAAGUAUCCCUGGGUUCAAUCCCUGGUACUAAACAAACAAACAAAAAAAAACUAAAAACUGAGAAUAGACUAGCAAAAUUUCAGAGUAUUUAUUUAAGAAAAAUGGUAGACUUCUUAUAAGAGCUUUGUACAUUUUUAUUCUGCUCAGUUCCUAUCUCUCUCUUUCUCUCUGUGGUAGUGUUGAAAACCAAAUAUUGUAAUUAUGGUUGGGAAAAACAGUCUGGCAGCCACUGGAAGGAACUUAAGGGCACUGACACUUCCCGAAAGACCCAUCCCUAGAGAACUGACAGUCUGACCUCUAUAGCAGCUCCUUGCUAAUUCCAUUCUCAGGUCUUAUCUUUAUGUGACCUAAUUUGGAGUUCACCCUGUGCACAAAGUCCCUUUUUAAAAAGAAUCAGUGGCAGUUGUUUACCAUCACAGGUACCUGAAGUGAUAAUACCAGAUGGAGCAAAAGAGAAACUCACUAAGAACCUUAAAAGGAAAAACUGGGCAAUGAGAUGUUCAAAAGAGGCUUUGGAAAACUCCAUCAUAUUCCUGGAAAUCCAGAAAGUCUCAUGCACGUAUAGUGCUAUGCACACAGCUAGGAAGAAACAUAGACAUCCCUAGUCCCUCACCUCUGGCUGACCUUGAUAUUCUGUACAAUCAGGAAAUAUAACUUAAGUCAUACAAAAGAAAAAAAAAUAUUGAUUAAUUAGACUUUAUUAAAAUUGAACUUUUGUGCCUCAAAGGACACCAAAAAAAAGUGUAAAGAUAACAGAAUAGGAGAAAAUAUUUGUAAAUUAUAUAUCUGAUAAAGAGCUUGUAUUUAGGACUGUUUUUUCUAGUUCUCUGAAGAAUGUCAUUAGUAUUUUAAUGGGAAUUGCCUUGAAUCUAUAUAUUGCUUUUGGUAAUGUGGCCAUUUUAACAGUAUUAAUUCUGCUUAUCUGUGAACAUGGGAGGUAUUUCCAUCUGAGGUCCUCUUCAAUUUCUUCCUUUAGCGUUCUGUUGCUUUCAUUGUAGAGGUAUUUCACCUCCUUGGUUAGAUUUAUUCCUAAAUUGUGUUAUUUUAGUGUUUUGUUUUGUUCUGUUUGCAGCUAUUGUGAAUGGAAUUGUUUUCCUGAUUUUUUUCUCAGCAGAUUCAUUACUGGUAUUUAGGAAAGUUACUGGUUUUCAUAUGUUGAUUUUGCAACCUGCUACUUUGAUGAAUUCAUUAGCACUAGCAAUCUUUUGGUGGAGUUUUUUUGAUCUUCCAAGUAUAGGAGUAUAUCAUCUGCUAACAGUAAUAAUUUGACUUCUUCCAUUCCUAUUUUUAUCCUUUUUAUUUUCUUUCUCUUGCCUAAUUUCUCUGACAAGAGUUUGUAUUUAGAAUGUGUAAAGAAAUUUUAUAACUCAAUAAUAAAUGAAUAAAUAACCCAAUUUAAAAAUGGGC
rnacentral:lncRNA from 1 species